ensembl:lincRNA
GAUAAUUUGACUUCUUUUCAAUUUACAUGUCCUUUCUUUCUUUCUCUUGCGUAAUUGGUUUGGCUAAGACUUUCAAUACUGUGUUGAAUAGAAGUGAUAAAUUGACAUCACAUUUCACCUUUUCUUUUAACAAAAAAAAGGUUUUACAAUGGGUCAGCCCAAUAUGAACUAUUGGAAACAUCUCUAAGAUAAAUUAAGGAAAUACACACACUAUGGAAUAAAACAGCAUGAAGAAUCUAUGUUUAAGAGGUAGCUAUCUAUUCUCCAGGGAUUUAUGUUACCCUUCCACAGAGUAAAGUUGAAUAAGUACCAACUCAGGGACUAAACUUCCCAGCUUCUCCUGCAUUUAAAAUCACUGUUACUUCUUGUGGAAUAUGUGCAAAGUGAUCUGAUAGGACUUCUGGGCAGGGUGAUUAAGAAGCAAUUAUGUCUUAGUCUCUCUCUCUUUUUCCUCCAUUUGCUGCUAAAGUGAAGACUGAAGCCCUAGGCUAUGGCAGAAGUUGGGCGCCUGAAGUACACAUGGAAAUAUGCCAACUGAACAUUGGACUAUCACCGCCUGCCCCUGGCUCAGCGCCCGGUGCCAACAGAACACCUUUCAGGAUCCACAGCAACGCAGACAACAUUUUAAAGCACCUGAUGGAUUUGGAAAAUAUUUAAUGAAGACAAUGAUGCUGACAUCUCAAGUUAAAAGGUUCUACAGAGAAGGCAAAGAUUUUGAAGGCACAGGAGACUAUCAUAGAUAUUCACAACGGCAUCUCCCUAAAGGAUUUGAAAGCUUUGCAUCAACCAAAGGAAAAGCACCAGUGAGAGUCAAGAUACAGUUCUAGACAGGUGCUACUUCUUAUUUAAAAGGUAUCAAGGUCUUGUUCUUAUGUGUUCAGAUCAGUGCUGGAAAUGAUGAAGACAGAGAGACUGGAAGGAAGAACACAACAGUUGAGUGAGUAUUAAGUAUUCUCAGUUAGAUCAGGGGUCCCCAACCCUCAGGCCAAGGACAGGUAGUGGUCUGUGGCCUGUUAGGAACUGGGCCGCACAGCAGGAGGCGAGCAGCAGGCGAGUGAGCAUUACCACCUGAGCUCCACAUCCUGUCAGAUCAGCAGCAACAUUAGAUUCUCACAGGAGCACGAACUCUGUUGCAAACUUUGCAUACAAGGGAUCUAGAUUGUGCAAUCCUUAUGAGAAUCUAAUGCCUGAUGAUCUAAGGUAGAAGUUUCAUCCCAAAAUCACAUUCCCCCCAACCCCUGGCAUCUGUGGAAAAAUUGUCUUCCACAAACCUGGUCCCUGGUGCCAAAAAGGUUGGGUACUGCUGAGUUAGAUCAUAACAUUUAAUCCUGAUAAUAACUCUGUGAGGCAAGGUUUGUUCAGCCCAAUAAACAGCAGAAAUAUGGGUCAAAUCUAGGUUCACAGUUGAUGCUCAUUCUACCAUACAUACUGCCUCUUGUAACAGGUAUCCUAACAAGUACCUUCCUGGAGAGUUUUGUUGCCAUAUGACUUUUGUGUAGUUAUUUAUUUAUUUAUUUAUUUAUUUAUUUAUUUAUUUAUUUAUUUUGAGAUGGAGUCUUGCUCUGUCGCCCAGGCUGGAGUGCAGUGGCGCAAUCUCAGCUCACUGCAACCUCCGCCUCCUGGUUCAAGCAAUUCUCCUGUCUCAGCCUCCUGAGUAGCUGGGAUUACAGGCACGUGCCACCACGCCUGGCUAAUUUGGGUAUUUUUAUUAGAGACUGGGUUUCACCAUAUUGACCAGGCUGGUCUCGAACUCCUGACCUCAUGUGAUCUGCCUGCCUCAGCCUCCCAAAGUGCUGGGAGUACAGGCGUGAGCCACUGCACCUAGCCUUUGUAGUUAUUUUAUUAGGCCUGUCAGACAAUCAUCUGCAUGCAUGUUAUUUCCCAGCAAAGAACUAAGCUUAGGUGAUUUUGCUCAGUUAUUCUGUAUCAGGGGUAAGCAACUCUUUUUUUAAAGGGAGAAAUGGUCGUUAUUUUAAGCUUUGGGGACCAUACAGUCUGUUGCAACCACUCACUUAUGACAGCCAUAGACAAUGUGUAAAUGAAUAGGUGAACAAGGCUAUGUUCCAGUACAACUUUAUUUACAGAAACAGACAGUAGCCAUAUUUGGCCCAUGAGCUAAUAGUUUGGCCAAUCCUUGUGAUAUACCAAUGAUAGUCAUUUUUUACAUAUUUUAGUCUACAUAGUUUCAGAGUGCUUUGUCUCCUGUAAUUCUUGGAACUCCCUAGUUCUGUAUCCUGCAGUGAUUCCCCAGUGUCCUUCACCAUGGAAGCCUCCAUGUUUUAAUAUAACAGAGCCUUGGAAACAAGGGUGUGAGGCAAGGACUUGAGCCAGUGCUCAUCGUGGUGAAAUUUGCAUCAUUAGAAGAAUGUUUAUAAAGGACUUUAGAGAAGUUAGAGUCAGUACCCCACUGCCUGCAUCAGAACUAGCCCUGUGGUAGGAAAUCUCAUACAGAGGGUGGGCUCUAAUUUCAGAGGAUAAGAACCUGGCCUUCCACAGAGGUCUCAGUUGGAGCUAUUGAUUCUAUGGUAGAAAAAGAUGAGAUUGACAGCACUUGAGCUACUAGUAUCUAAAUUCUCUUCAGGGAAUUUUAUGCCAGUCAGCUGCACCAAUAUACCCUGCCAUGCUGGCAAGUGUCUUGGUUUAAAACCCUCCCCUGCUCUGCAACUCUACCAAAUUAUUCAUGUUGGCCUGAUUUUCUUACUCUUCCAUCUUUUCUGGCAUUUUUUGUUUUAUGUGUGUGUCUGUGUGUGUGUGUGUGUGUGUGUGUAGCUGCUUUAGAGACAUUCUGCCACCUUUCUGGACUUAGCUAGAUCAGGGAGAGUAGGCAGGUUGUGAUUGGAAUCUUAAUAACUUGUCAAAACAGAGCAUUUAAAUCCUGUUCAUGUUAUUUUAUAUCCUUCCCAUGGAACACAGAUAGCCAAGAAGACAAAUAAGAGAGGACCCUUGGUAUUUUUUCGUUGUUUGUAUGAUCCUGAGGGUUUUGAUGAACUGGCUUUUGCAAGUUACAUUGUCGUUGUUCAAGCCAGCUUCAGCUGAUUGAUUUGGCAAGGAUCCAAGGCAUCGAAAAUCAAAACAAAACAAAACGAAAAAGAAAAUAAAAAUUCAGAUCAGAUCAGAAUACAUCAUAACAAUGUAAUCAUUCAGCAUCUCAUCUGGUUACUUAUAAUAAGUUGUGCAGUGAUAGAAAUGGAAAUAAUUUACUCUGGCCACUCUGUGUUACUGUUAAAUCAUUUAUGUGCUGUGAAAAGAACUGCAAACUGUUGAGACUCAAAGAUCCCCUAACUGCAUUCUCCCAAGGAAUUCUCCACCACGAUCCCCAGUUCUAUUUCAUAUUUUAAACAUUUUCUUAGAGUGUGAGCUUUAUUAUCCACGUUCAAAUUCAGCAAGGCUUACUCGUCCAGAUAGCUCACCAUCAAGAAAUACAGUAAUGUGAAAUUGAGCUACUUCUGACAUUUUUAUGGUUUGUGAUAUACGAUACAACGUGAUGUAUGAAGCUCUUUGUAAUAAUUUUUAAUUUUGAAAUAGCUGAUUCUUUGGGGAUCAUUUAAUACAUAAUUCCAUAGAUUUUAGUGAUACCAGGUAUCUUUCAAGUAUCAUUUUAAUUGAGCUCUGGUGCUUCUGUCCUAUCAACUGUGAAUCAAACAGGAGCCUAUCAAAUCCUGUUGGGUGACAAAUCAUAGAACAAGAAAAAAUUGAUUCAUAAAUUAUGUCCGAAGACAAAUAAGAUUUUUUUUUGAUGUAUUUUUUUUUUAUUAUACUUUAAGUUUUAGGGUACAUGUGCACAUUGUGCAGGUUAGUUACAUACGUAUACAUGUGCCGUGCUGGUGUGCUGCACCCACUAACUCGUCAUCUAGCAUUACGUGUAUCUCCCAAUGCUAUCCCUCCCCCCUCCCCCACCCCACAACAGCCCCCAGAGUGCGAUGUUCCCCUUCCUGUGUCCAUGUGAUCUCAUUGUUCAAUUCCCACCUAUGAGUGAGAAUAUGUGGUGUUUGGUUUUUGUUCUUGCGAUAAUUUACUGAGAAUGAUGAUUUCCAAUUUCAUCCAUGUCCCUACAAAGGACAUGAACUCAUCAUUUUUUGGCUGCAUAGUAUUCCAUGUGUAUAUGUGCCACAUUUUCUUAAUCCAGUCUAUCAUUGUUGGACAUUUGGGUUGGUUCCAAGUCUUUGCUAUUGUGAAUAAUGCUGCAAUAAACAUACGUGUGCAUGUGUCUUUAUAGCAGCAUAAUUUAUAAUCCUUUGGGGUAUAUACCCAGUAAUGGGAUGGCUGGGUCAAAAUGGUAUUUCUAGUUCUAGAUCCCUGAGGAAUCGCCACACUGACUUCCACAAUGGUUGAACUAGUUUACAGUCCCACCAACAGUGUAAAAGUGUUCCUAUUUCUCCACAUCCUCUCCAGCACCUGUUGUUUCCUGACUUUUUAAUGAUUGCCAUUCUAACUGGUGUGAGAUGGUAUCUCAUUGUGGUUUUGAUUUGCAUUUCUCUGAUGGCCAGUGAUGAUGAGCAUUUUUUCAUGUGUUUUUUGGCUGCAUAAAUGUCUUCUUUUGUGAAGUGUCUGUUCAUGUCCUUCGCCCACUUUUUGAUGGGGUUGUUUGUUUUUUUCUUGUAAAUUUGUUUGAGUUCAUUGUAGAUUCUGGAUAUUAGCCCUUUGUCAGUAUGAGUAGGUUGCGAAAAUUUUCUCCCAUUUUGUAGGUUGCCUGUUCACUCUGAUGGUAGUUUCUUUUGUUGUUGCAGAAGCUCUUUAGUUUAAUUAGAUCCCAUUUGUCAAUUUUGGCUUCUGUUGCCAUUGCUU